rnacentral:rRNA from 1 species
GACCGUGCAAAGGUAGCAUAAUCAUUAGUUUUUUAAUGAAGGCUAGAAUGAAUGGUUGGACAAGAAAUAAUCUGUCUUAAAUUAAUAUAUUGAAUUUAACUUUUAAGUGAAAAGGCUUAAAUAAUCUGAAGGGACGAUAAGACCCUAUAAAACUUUAUAUUGAAAAGUGAUAGGUAUAUUUUGUUUAAAGAAUUAUUACUUUAAAGUAUUUGGUUGGGGAGACAAAAAUAGAAGAUAAAGUAACUGUUUUUUUUUUAUACAAUAAUGUUUGGGUUAGUGAUCCUAAAAUGGAUUAAAGAUUAAGUUACUUUAGGGAUAACAGCGUAAUUUUCUUUAAGAGUUCUUAUCGAUAAGAAAGUUUGCG